rnacentral:lncRNA from 1 species
CUACUUCCUGUCUCUAUGGUUCCUCCUUCCUUUCUCAUUGGUUUCUCCAUCCUGUCUCUAUGGUUUCUACCUUUCACUGUGGGCUGGUUAUCCCUACAUAUGUCUAUGGUCCCAGUAAUGACACAUCCCUCCAAUGAUGAAGCAAGAAGGGAGGACUUGAGGUCUCUAAGUCCAUCUCCUCUCCUGAAAUAUCCACCAAUGUUGACUGGCAGGGAAGGUCAAGUGGACAGUACAAUCAGAAUAAAGAAUACAAUUCCCUUCAAAAGCAAGAGGACCAUAAAUUGAGAGAUGGACGGAACUUCUGAAGUUAUCUAGUUGGAUCCUUUCAUUUUACAAAAAAGGAAACUGAGGCCCAGAAAGAUUAUGUGACUUGUCCAAGACUGUGGUAAGAUUUAAUACAGAUGCCCUUAAACAUAAACAUUGUUCUCUUCACUAAGCCAAGUAGUCUCCCUACUGAAGUUGUACUAUUACCUGCUUACAAAAAGGUGAGCUUUUCUAAAAUAAUGACAAUAACAACUCAGUGAUAAAAUCUUUGACACAUUAUUCUCAUGCAUUGUAUAACUACUUACUCUCUCAUGU